GCGGGCGUAGCUCAGGGGUAGAGUACAAGCUUCCCAAGCUUGGUGUCGCGGGUUCAAAUCCCGUCGCCCGCU
rnacentral:tRNA from 1 species